AAUUAACAUAUUUAACAUAACAUAUUUAAUUUAAUUGAAAUCAUUACCGAACGUGGUUAUUGAUUUCUCUAUAUGCUUUUUAUUUGUAAUAACUGCGAUCUCUCAGCUCAUUUGCUUCAGCAAGAGGCUGCACUGGAGAGUGGACCUUGUCACAUGUGAGCCACCCACAUCAACAGGAUGGGAACUCAUGUGGAGUGCAUGUCAUAAUGUUUGCCCAAUCUCUCAUUGACGGUAAAACACAAGUGGAGGAGUACAACACUGAAAUCACAAAGCUCAGGUCCCGACUUUGCCACUACUUAUUUUCCUCAAUAGAUCGAACUAGGAAGUGCAGUCAGUGCUGGUGUGUGAUUGCAGCCAAAGACCGGGUGCAGUGCCAGAAAUGUGGUGCAUACAAGCACAUGCAUUGUUCAAAGUCUGUUUGUGGCAUCUGUAUCUUCUGUGAGAGGCCGUAAAGCCAAACUGCCCGCAAUGAUUCUUGACAGGCCUAAGAAGGCCAAAACUAAAGUAACAGUGUUUAGUGUUCUGAGUGAAGAGGAGGCUGGCCCUCGGGUUUGCCGGAAGAUUGGCCUGCGAUGUCACAACAGACAUGGUCUGUAAAGGCAUCGACCAUUCAAGUGCUGAUAUGACAAAACAGACUCUUCUCAAAAUCCAACACAACCUUAAACAUGAGCUGACUGAUUCCUCAACCUUCAGUUUGCUGACACACACCUUUGACCCCGCUGCACUGGAUUCUGUCAUUUCAUUCCUGUGUGAAAAACUUGAUCUUGUCUCUUAAAUAAUGAAACCUUUUGUGACUUUUGUUUGUUCUGUAAAUCAGAAUCUUGAAAAUUGUUCAUUGUUGUUCUAAGUUUGUGUUAACUAUUUGGCAAAAAUGAUUGGUUCCUAAUCCAAACAGCAUAAUGACUGUUCUAACACAUAUCUUAAAAAUGCUACAAAGAAAGAAAAUUAUCACAUAUGUUUCAAUAUGAAUGUAAUUGUGUCACACUCGGUUUGUAGUAACUUUCCUGUUUUAUUUUGAGUUUUGGUAUGUUUACACUGUUAUUUUUAUUUCC